rnacentral:rRNA from 1 species
ACGAACGCUGGCGGCGUGCUUAACACAUGCAAGUCGAACGGUGAAGCGCCUUCCUUUUUGGUGGGUGUGGAUGAGUGGCGAACGGGUGAGUAACACGUGAGUAACCUGCCCCCUUCUUCUGGAUAACCGCAUGAAAGUGUGGCUAAUACGGGAUAUUCUGGGUCUGUCGCAUGAUGGGUCUGGGAAAGAUAUUGUUUCGGUGGGGGAUGGGCUCGCGGCCUAUCAGCUUGUUGGUGGGGUGAUGGCCUACCAAGGCGGUGACUGGUAGCCGGCCUGAGAGGGUGGACGGUCACACUGGGACUGAGACACGGCCCAGACUCCUACGGGAGGCAGCAGUGGGGAAUAUUGCACAAUGGGCGCAAGCCUGAUGCAGCGACGCCGCGUGAGGGAUGGAGGCCUUCGGGUUGUGAACCUCUUUCGCCAGUGAAGCAGGCCUGCCUCGUUUGUGGGUGGGUUGACGGUAGCUGGAUAAGAAGCGCCGGCUAACUACGUG